rnacentral:rRNA from 1 species
UACAGAGGGUGCGAACGUUGCUCGGAAUUACUGGGCGUAAAGCGCGUGUAGGCGGGACGAUAAGUCGGACGUGAAAUCCCCGGGCUCAACCCGGGAACUGCUUUCGAAACUGCCGUCCUCGAGUACCGGAGAGGGUGGCGGAAUUCCUGGUGUAGAGGUGAAAUUCGUAGAUAUCAGGAGGAACACCGGUGGCGAAGGCGGCCAGCUGGGCCGUUGCUGACGCUGAGGCGCGACAGCGUGGGGAGCAAACAGG